GCGCACCAGGCGCGAAACCUCCGCAAUACACGAAAGUGUGACGGGGCCAUCCUGAGUGCCGUCCGCUGAGGACGGCUUUUCCCCUGUGUACAUAGCUGGGGGAAUAAGGAGAGGGCAAGCCUGGUGUCAGCCGCCGCGGUAAUACCAGCUCUCCGAGUGGUGGGGACGCUUAUUGGGCCUAAAGCAUCCGUAGCCGGCUGGGCAAGUCCUCCGUUAAAUCCAACGAUUCAAUCGUUGGGCUGCGGGGGAUACUGUCCAGCUUGGGGGGCGGGAGAGGCCGACGGUAUUCCCGGGGUAGGGGUGAAAUCCUAUAAUCCCGGGAGGACCACCAGUGGCGAAGGCUGUCGGCUAGAACGCGCCCGACGGUGAGGGGAUGAAAGCUGGGGGAGCGAACCGGAUUAGAUACCCCGGUA
rnacentral:rRNA from 1 species